rnacentral:lncRNA from 1 species
GCUGAGGAACCAGCAGACUGAAGUAUACUGGCUGGCGGGGAGCAUCUUCUGCUAUAGUCUGAAGGUCUUCCAUUCCUCUAAGGAAGAGCAAUCCAUUCUACCUGGACAGGCAAAGUUCUGCUGAUCCUCCUGCUCACCAGACAGUAAAGGUGCAUGGAUAACAUUCUGGGGAUAAAUGGGCUCUUCGUGAUUGGGGUGUGUCAGCGUUUCCAGCCCUGCUCAUUAGCUCUGCCACACGUGCUCCCGAGAGCAAACCAGCCGCUGCUCCUCAUGCUGGGCUCCAGGACAGCAGUGACAGCAACUGGAAGCUUUUCCUUGAGUAGGCAUGAAAUGUGCAAGAGUUCAAUAGGUGCUGAAAUGUCCCAAAGCAUCUAGCUAAUCCAGCAGAGGUUAAAGAAAUGAAGAACCACCUGACACCCCCCCACACACUGAUGCAGCGGUGAGCUGCUGAUCAUGCCCACGUCCACUGCAGUGGUUUGGAGCUGGGAUGUGUGCCUUGCUCUCUUCAGGAGUAUCUGUAGGAUGUGGCAGCUGAUCAACUCGUCAUACUGUUCUCCCAGCAGAGGUUUUGCAUUUAGCAAAUCCACAUAUGCUGUGCCCUACCAGAGAGGUGGAAGUGAUAUUUUACCCAUGUAGCUUCAGGCUCUAUUCUGUGAGAAAAAAAGUGGUUCUCAGCCUUCCACCAGUGUUUAUAGGAAGAAGAGCCCUGGUUAGACUUCUAUCACCGCGUUACGCACCCCUGUGCCUGAGGUUUCUCCUGACUCAUCUUCUCCGUGAGAUCCGGUGGAGGUCUUCGUAGAGUGUCA